GACGAACGCUGGCGGCGUGCCUAGUACAUGCAAGUUGAGCGCUGAAGGUUGGUACUUGUACCGACUGGAUGAGCAGCGAACGGGUGAGUAACGCGUGGGGAAUCUGCCUUUGAGCGGGGGACAACAUUUGGAAACGAAUGCUAAUACCGCAUAAAAACUUUAAACACAAGUUUUAAGUUUGAAAGAUGCAAUUGCAUCACUCAAAGAUGAUCCCGCGUUGUAUUAGCUAGUUGGUGAGGUAAAGGCUCACCAAGGCGAUGAUACAUAGCCGACCUGAGAGGGUGAUCGGCCAAAUUGGGACUGAGACACGGCCCAAACUCCUACGGGAGGCAGCAGUAGGGAAUCUUCGGAAAUGGACGAAAGUCUGACCGAGCAACGCCGCGUGAGUGAAGAAGGUUUUCGGAUCGUAAAACUCUGUUGGUAGAGAAGAACGUUGGUGAGAGUGGAAAGCUCAUCAAGUGACGGUAACUACCCAGAAAGGGACGGCUAACUACGUG
rnacentral:rRNA from 1 species